rnacentral:rRNA from 1 species
UACAGAGGGUGCAAGCGUUGUUCGGAAUUAUUGGGCGUAAAGGGCGCGUAGGCGGUGCGGUAAGUCUGUAGUGAAAUCUCUGGGACCUCAACUCAGAGUCUGCUAUAGAAACUGCCGUGCUUGAGUGUGGGAGAGGUGAGUGGGAAUUCCCGGUGUAGCGGUGAAAUGCGUAGAUAUCGGGAGGAACAUCAGUUGCGAAGGCGGCUCUCUGGACCAGCACUGGACACUGAGGCACGAAAGCGUGGGGGAGCAAACAGG